rnacentral:rRNA from 1 species
UACGUAGGGGGCAAGCGUUGUUCGGAAUUAUUGGGCGUAAAGAGCGUGUAGGCGGUCCUGCAAGUCAGAUGUGAAAGUCAAGGGCUCAACCCUUGAAUGCCGGUUGAUACUGUCGGGCUAGAGUCCGGAAGAGGCGAGUGGAAUUCCCGGUGUAGCGGUGAAAUGCGCAGAUAUCGGGAGGAACACCAAUGGCGAAGGCAGCUCGCUGGGACGGUACUGACGCUGAGACGCGAAAGCGUGGGGAGCAAACAGG